GUGAGUGGCCAUAUCACCCUGCAGCCCAAGACUGGUUGCCCACUUAAGCUAAGCAGGGUUGAGCCUGGUCAGUAGGCUAAUCAGUACCUGGAUGGGAGACCUCCUGGGAAAACUAGGUUGCUGUUGGAA
rnacentral:rRNA from 1 species